AUUGCUUGGUUGAAAACUCAUCUAAUAAUCUCAGAAAGCCAAGAAUGCUGACCAUACUCCCUGUAACAUCAGCAUGAUAUGCAGGGAAAACUUAGGAUAAAUUUUAGUAAAUUUUAAAAAUCAUUUAUACACACUUUCUAAGGACUUCUAAAAUCUUACCAUCUAUCUUUCAGUGUCUCGGCUGAAGGCGAGGGAAGGGAGAGUUUGGAA
rnacentral:lncRNA from 1 species